GCUGAGAAAGGGGGGACGGGCACACUGGGACUGAGAACACGGCCAGACUCCUACGGGAGGCAGCAGUGGGGAAUAUGCACAUGGCGAAAGCUGAUGCAGCACGCGCGUGAGGGAUGACGCUUCGGGUGUAAACCUCUUUAGCAGGGAAGAAGCGAAAGUGACGGUACCUGCAGAAAAAGCGCCGGCUAACUACGUGCCAGCAGCCGCGGUAAUACGUAGGGCGCAAGCGUUAUCCGGAAUUAUUGGGCGUAAAGAGCUCGUAGGCGGUCUGUCGCGUCUGCUGUGAAAACCCGAGGCUCAACCUCGGGCCUGCAGUGGGUACGGGCAGACUAGAGUGCGGUAGGGGAGAUUGGAAUUCCUGGUGUAGCGGUGGAAUGCGCAGAUAUCAGGAGGAACACCGAUGGCGAAGGCAGAUCUCUGGGCCGUAACUGACGCUGAGGAGCGAAAGGGUGGGGAGCAAACAGGCUUAGAUACCCUGGUAGUCCACCCCGUAAACGUUGGGAACUAGUUGUGGGGUCCAUUCCACGGAUUCCGUGACGUAGCUAACGCAUUAAGUUCCCCGCCUGGGGAGUACGGCCGCAAGGCUAAAACUCAAAGGAAUUGACGGGGACCCGCACAAGCGGCGGAGCAUGCGGAUUAAUUCGAUGCAACGCGAAGAACCUUACCAAGGCUUGACAUAUACGAGAACGGGCCAGAAAUGGUCAACUCUUUGGACACUCGUAAACAGGUGGUGCAUGGUUGUCGUCAGCUCGUGUCGUGAGAUGUUGGGUUAAGUCCCGCAACGAGCGCAACCCUCGUUCUAUGUUGCCAGCACGUAAUGGUGGGAACUCAUGGGAUACUGCCGGGGUCAACUCGGAGGAAGGUGGGGAUGACGUCAAAUCAUCAUGCCCCUUAUGUCUUGGGCUUCACGCAUGCUACAAUGGCCGGUACAAAGGGCUGCAAUACCGCAAGGUGGAGCGAAUCCCAAAAAGCCGGUCCCAGUUCGGAUUGAGGUCUGCAACUCGACCUCAUGAAGUCGGAGUCGCUAGUAAUCGCGGAUCAGCAACGCUGCGGUGAAUACGUUCCCGGGUCUUGUACACACCGCCCGUCAAGUCAUGAAAGUCGGUAACACCUGAAGCCGGUGGCCCAACCCUU
rnacentral:rRNA from 1 species